AUGGAGGGCAUUUCUGUGUUUGCUAGCAAUUGUGUCCAAUCUGGAUACAUGAAAAACCUGUUGACAAUCAAUUCAUUAGUCGACUUAGAUUCACACAUGUUUAAUUAUCUCCACUCUUCCUCUCCCUCCUCCUCUCCUCUUCCUCUCCAUCUUCCUCAUCCUCCUCCUCUUUCUCCUCCACUUCCUCCUCUUCUUCCUCACCACUUCCUCACUUCUUCCUCACCACUUCCUCACCUCUUCCUCAUCAUCUUCCUCCUCUUAUUCCCCUCUUCCUCCUCUUCCUCCUCCUCCUCUCCUCUUCCUCUCCUCCUCCUCUUCCUCCCCAUCUCCUCUUCCUCUCCUCUUCCUCCUCAUCUUCCUCAUCCUCUUCCUCAUCCUCUCCUUCUCCCCCCUCUUCCUCUCCUCUUCUUCCUCCUCUUCCUCCUCCUCUUCCUCUCCUCCCAGGGUUGUGUCUACGUGCCAGGAUUCUCCAGACUCCUGUUGCCUUGAGGAGGUGGUGUUCUCCUCCUCUCUCCUCAUCCGCCAGACUCCUCAACACCUCCUGAGGAGGACAACUGAACACAGAGAGGCACACCUGGACUGUCACCACGGCGACAAGGACUACCCAUACAUGUUGUGGUACCAACAGAAGGACAAGGGAGGACAGAAGACCAUGGUACUCAUUGGGACACUACACUAUACAAACCCAACUCUUGAGAAGAACUAUGAAACACGGUUCAACUUAACAGGUCAUUCCAAGGCCAAAGCCAGCCUGGUUAUCUCUGAGAUAAACCCUACAGACAGUGCAGUGUAUUACUGUGCAGCCAGUCAGCACAGUGCUGCAAAUUCAUUCCCUCACUAACCAAAAACGACUGAAAUUGGUAUCCUUUUCUCCGGACAAGGGCAUUUCCAGGCAUAGAGGCAACAUGGAAAUUAAAAAUAUUGAAAAUAUUUAGAAGAAUUCCAAAAAUAAAAAAAAAUCCUCAUAAAAUUCCCCUGAAUGAUAAUUAAUAAGUUAAAAUAAUGCAACAAAAGAAAGCACAUUUUCCUUCUAUUCUACUUUGCCAUGAGACUGGGAGAAAAAUGUUUUAAAGCUAAUUUUCAGUCAUCCACUCCCAU
rnacentral:lncRNA from 13 species